rnacentral:lncRNA from 1 species
UGCCUCUCUCCCUCCUACAUGGGGCAGCAAGUCCCCGGCAGCCUGGAUGCUAUUCAAGCUCCACAAGCCCACAAAUAAGCAUUUUCAUCACACAGAUGUUAGGCAUGGCCCAUUAAAAGAAGUGAGACGAUGCCAUUGCAAUUUAACCCAGGGAAGAAAAAGAACGCGUAAAAAGCCGUAUGGUUUCAUAGAAUAACAAAGAACAUCUGUGUCCAGACUCAUGGGCUGGGUACAUCUCUAAGAACAAAGCCCUCUGCCAGCCUUUCUGGAACAGGAUUGCUGCUUUGAGUCAGAAUGAAGCCAUACGAAUCCCUUUUCCACUGCUGAGACAGAACUCUCUUUUCUGACUAACUCCCUCGUUUGGACAGAGAUCUCUGUAAGGGUCAACUCGUUGGCUCUGGAGUGUCAGGAGGUGAAGCCACUAGGACUCUGUGAAGCUGGACUUUUCAGGACUAGCCCAGAGCCCUGGGCAGAAGUGCAACUGGCCGAGGGUUCCACAGAGACUCAAGAACAAACUUGAGAACAGGUGUGGGGCCAAGACAGUCGCUGGGCACCAUUUGAAACAAGAGGCUACCUGGAAAACAUGCCUUCAGCGGUUUGGCGAGGAGAAACCUGUUUGAAAGGGAUGGAGUCUUGCCUUUGCCAUCACCUGCUCUGGUUCUGUACGGUUUGGUGCUCACUGAGCUCUGUUCUCUUUACAUCUCAUGCUCACAUCUCUUCCUGCUGGUCCAGGAAGCUACUUGCCUCUACAGAGGGUGUCUUCCUGUCUCUCUUUGCUUUGUAAAGUCUCAGAGAGGAGCUAUAAUGAGUCUUGGCAUGGAGAACACAGUGUUUUCUGAACUGUGGCUUGGGAUGCAUUAGUGGGUUGAGAAAUCAGUUUUGUGGGCUGAAGCCAGCAUUUAAAAUGCAAAGGAAGACGAAGAAACAGAAUGGAAUAGGAAUGAAUGAACUGAAUUGAAAAUAUUGGUCUAUUGCAUAUGGAUGUAGAUGUGAUGGUUAAAGAUGCAGCUGCCAUCUUGGAUUAUGAAGUAACCAUGGAUAUGGAAGACACAUAUGAUGAAACAAGGUAGAAGCAGCCUGGGUCCUUGAUGUUACGGCCAACUUACCUCUAGACUUCUUUGAAGCAGAGAAAUAGGCUUGCUUAAGCUACAGGUGACCAAACUGAGGCAUGGGGGUUUAAUAAGCUUACCCAAAACUACACAGCAAGGAGGAGGCUGUGUCGGGAAUCAAACUCAGUCACUGUGGCCCCCAAGUCCAUGCUCAUAACCACCAGGAGAUCUGGUAACACUCGCCGAAACCAGUGCUUCCUGGGACCUAGUUUGGAAAAGCUGGUUGUGAAAUACAUACUGCGGUUCAGCCUCCUCCCGCCUAAGAGCAACAAUGCCUGUGAGCAUAACCUUACCAAGAAGCGUGAAUCAUAUGAUAAUUACAUAUGGCACCCACAUAUCCAGAGGAGAACAGCACGGUGUGAGCCCUCAUCAAAUUGUCCAAGCCAGAAACCUAGGCCUUUUCCUGGAAUGACGUUCCUCCACAGGUAAUCAAUUACAGAAGAGCCUUUCACACUUUCCUUUUUCUCCCAUUCCCCACCACUUGCCUUAAUCUAGGAAAUUAGCAUUUUUUUUAAUCUAAAGCCUUCUCAUUGUUGCCCCAUCACCAGAAUACAAGAAUAUCUUAUUUUAUUGAGCUCUGGGAUACUGUGUGUUUUGUUUUUGUUUUUACAAAUUGAAGAUUUGUGGCAACACAGCGUCAAGCGCCUACUGGCUCCAUUUUUCCAGCAGCAUGUGCUCACUUCGUGUUCCUGUGUCACAUUUUGGUCUCUAAUAGGUGGACCCCUGCAGCAUUCACCCAGCUUUUUCACUGCGCCUGAAUAGAAGAUGCCCUUUCAGGCCAGGCGCAGUGGCUCACACCUGUAAUCCCAGCACUUUGGGAGGCCGAGGCGGGUGGAUCACGAGGUCAAGAGAUCGAGACCAUCCUGGCCAACAUGGUGAAACCCCGUCUCUAAUAAAAAUAAAAAUAAAAAAAAUUAGCUGGGUGUGGUGGUGCAUGCCUUGUAGUCCCAGCUGCUCGGGAGGCUGAGGCAGAAGAAUUGCUUCAACCCAGGAGAUGGAGGUUGCAGUGAGCCAAGAUCGCACCACUGCACUCCAGCCUGGUGACCCAGAAAGACUUCAUCUAAAAAAAAAGUUGCCCUUUCAUAACUGUUACCUCUGGACGUACUCUUUCUAGAAAGUCCUGCCCUUCGCUGUGCUAUCCCUGAAGAUCAGCACAAAUGUCAUCUCCAAGAGGAAGCCUGGAGCACCCACCAUCACCAUCACCACCCACAGAUGGACAAAAUUACCAAUAGUCUCCUCUCUCAGGUUUCCCAUAUAAUUACCUUUAUUACACUUAACAUAAAUAAGAUAGCCUCUCCACCUCUUUUUUUCAGUUAAAUGAUCCAACCAACUAAACUUUAAUUCAAUCGACUAUCGUUUGGCCACAAAUACUAUAUUCACUCUUUCUCUAAUCGAAUCAGAACUUGAAUGUCAAUAUCAUCCCUAAACCUUAUCAUCCACCCUCCCAUUAUCCAGCAUCCACCUCCUGAACUCAGUCACGGCCUCCAAAUACUAUAGCCAGCUCCCAGAAUUAAAAGGUUGAGCCUCAAAUUCUCAGAAAAGUUUAACAAGAAAAACAACUAGAAAGAAGGAGAUUUAUCCUAAAAGUCUGAUAUACUGUUCUGUAGAAUUUUCCCCUAAGUUCCAAGAUGAUAACUUCCUCUUUCAGCCUUAAUUCUCAGCGAAAAUACCCACAAAACUAAAAGCUACUGCUUUAAGCUCUUAAAUUUUAUCAGCAAAAUGAGGCUGAGGACCCGAGCCCACGCAAAUGGUGAAACUUUAAGAAAGAAGAAUAAAUAGAACAAAAAAGAAUGAUUGUUCUAGUUAUUCUUCCCUGAUUGAGACAUUAUGGUUUGUUUUUCCAAUAGGUUUUGUCAUAAAGGAGGAAAUAGGCAUAUUACAGAAAAGUUUGAAAAGAAAUGUAAAUAAAUAAAAAGUUCACUCAACAUGAACACAUAAGUAACAUAACUAUUAAUGUUUGCAAGUUCCCUUCCAAUAUUUUAUGUGCACAUAGAUCUGUAUAUAUUUAGCAAUUUUAAUCAAACUUUGCAUCCCAUUUGAUGACUUUUUUUCCAUUUAAGUUUUUUUUUCUGUUUUUGUUUUUGAGACGGAGUCUGGCUCUGUCUUCCAGGCUGGAGUAGUGCAAUGGUGCGAUCUCGGCCCACUGCAACCUCCGCCGGCUGGGUUCAAGUGAUUCUCC